GAUGAACGCUGGCGGCGUGCCUAACACAUGCAAGUCGAGCGAUUUGCUUCGGUAAAGAGCGGCGGACGGGUGAGUAACGCGUGGGUAACCUGCCCUGUACACACGGAUAACAUACCGAAAGGUAUGCUAAUACGAGAUAAUAUGCUUUUAUCGCAUGGUAGAAGCAUCAAAGCUUUUGCGGUACAGGAUGGACCCGCGUCUGAUUAGCUAGUUGGUAAGGUAACGGCUUACCAAGGCGACGAUCAGUAGCCGACCUGAGAGGGUGAUCGGCCACAUUGGAACUGAGACACGGUCCAAACUCCUACGGGAGGCAGCAGUGGGGAAUAUUGCACAAUGGGCGAAAGCCUGAUGCAGCAACGCCGCGUGAGCGAUGAAGGCCUUCGGGUCGUAAAGCUCUGUCCUCAAGGAAGAUAAUGACGGUACUUGAGGAGGAAGCCCCGGCUAACUACGCGCCAGCCGCCGCCGUAA
rnacentral:rRNA from 1 species